rnacentral:tRNA from 1 species
GCAUUGAUGUUUCAGUGGUAGAAUUCUUGCCUUUCAUGCAAGAUAUCUGGGUUCAACUCCUGACCGAUGCA